CCCCUAGAUGUUCUGGGCCGCACGCGCGCUACACUGAACAGUUCAACAAGUCUUAACCUUGGCCGAUAGGUCUGGGUAAUCUUUGAACGUGAAUCGUGAUGGGGAUAGAUGAUUGCAAUUAUUCAUCUUCAACGAGGAAUUCCUAGUAAACGCAAGUCAUCAGCUUGCAUUGAUUACGUCCCUGCCCUUUGUACACACCGCCCGUCGCACCUACCGAUUGAAUGGUCCGGUGAAAUCUUCGGAUCUGAGAGAUGUCUGAUUAAUUUCGGACGCCUUUUGGAAAAGUUGUUUAAACCUUACCAUUUAGAGGAAGGUGAAGUCGUAACA
rnacentral:rRNA from 1 species